GCUGGAUUUGGUGAUCUACAAGGUAAUUAUGCCAGAAGAGAGAUUAUUUUUCAGACUUACUUUGGAAAAUCAGAGCCAGCCUGCCUUGGAAACAGAGAGAGGCUCAAGGGAGCUGCGUGGAGGCUGAUAACACGGAGGCCCCCGGGGAGGACAAGGGUGUGCUGCGUAGCCCUGGGAGCUGUGGAGGGACCAGGUGCUCCGCAGCAGCAGAAAAAUGAAAAAAUCCCAGCAUAGCCAGUGACCUCUUUCUUCGUGACAGUCCUCAAAGCUGCCAGGCAGCAACGGAGCUGGAGGCGCUUCUCCAAAAUCCUGGGGGAGGGCCCUGGCCACUGUAAUCCUGAGUGGAUGAGCAGGGGCUGAGGGCACCACAUU